rnacentral:rRNA from 1 species
GUAGGAGGCGAGCGUUGUCCGGAGUUACUGGGCGUAAAGGGUGCGCAGGCGGCGUUCCGCGUGGCGAGAUGAAAUCUCCUGGCUUACCUGGGAGGAUGGUCGCCAGACGGGAGCGCUUGAGGGUCGGAGAGGGGCGUGGAAUUCCGGGUGGAGCGGUGAAAUGCGUAGAGAUCCGGAGGAACACCGACGGCGUAGGCAGCGCCCUGGACGACACCUGACGCUGAGGCACGAAAGCUGGGGGAGCGAACAGGAUUAGAUACCCUGGUAGUCCCAGCCCUAAACGAUGUCCACCAGGUACCGGGGGGAUCGACCCCUUCGGCGCCGCAGCUAACGUGAUGAGUGGACCGCCUGGGGAGUACGGCCGCAAGGUUG